rnacentral:rRNA from 1 species
AGAACGAACGCUGGCGGCAGGCCUAACACAUGCAAGUCGAACGCUGUAGCAAUACAGAGUGGCAGACGGGUGAGUAACGCGUGGGAACCUUCCCAGUGGUGCGGAAUAGCUCAGGGAAACUUGAGGUAAUACCGCAUAAGCCCUUAGGGGGAAAGAUUUAUCGCCAUUGGAUGGGCCCGCGUCGGAUUAGCUAGUUGGUGAGGUAACGGCUCACCAAGGCGACGAUCCGUAGCUGGUUUGAGAGAAUGACCAGCCACACUGGGACUGAGACACGGCCCAGACUCCUACGGGAGGCAGCAGUGGGGAAUCUUGGACAAUGGGCGCAAGCCUGAUCCAGCCAUGCCGCGUGAGUGACGAAGGCCUUAGGGUUGUAAAGCUCUUUUGCCGGGGACGAUAAUGACGGUACCCGGAGAAUAAGUCCCGGCUAACUUCGUGCCAGCAGCCGC